rnacentral:rRNA from 1 species
CCCUUAGAUGUUCUGGGCUGCACGCGCGCUACACUGAUGCUUUCAUCGAGUAUAUAACCUUACCAGACAUGGUUGGGUAAUCUUUUGAAACAGCAUCGUGAUGGGGAUAGAUUAUUGUAAUUAUUAGUCUUCAACGAGGAAUUCCUAGUAAGCGCGAAUCAUCAGUUCGUGCUGAUUACGUCCCUGCCCUUUGUACACACCGCCCGUCACUCCUACCGAUUGAGUGAGCCGAUGAAACUGCCGGAUGUGGACUAUUCAUAGUCUGCAGAAGAUAUUUGAAUCGUAGCGCUUAGAGGAAGGAGAAGUCGUAACA